rfam:Struthio camelus australis contig7142, whole genome shotgun sequence.
CUGUCCCCUGUGAGCUUCCCUUUGUCAUCCUAUGCCUGAGCGAUGCCUGGAGGCUGGGACGGCGAAGGGAAGCCCA